rnacentral:rRNA from 1 species
GACGAACGCUGGCGGCGUGCUUAACACAUGCAAGUCGAACGGUGAAGCGCCUUCCUUUUUGGUGGGUGUGGAUGAGUGGCGAACGGGUGAGUAACACGUGAGUAACCUGCCCCCUUCUUCUGGAUAACCGCAUGAAAGUGUGGCUAAUACGGGAUAUUCUGGGUCUGUCGCAUGAUGGGUCUGGGAAAGAUAUUGUUUCGGUGGGGGAUGGGCUCGCGGCCUAUCAGCUUGUUGGUGGGGUGAUGGCCUACCAAGGCGGUGACGGGUAGCCGGCCUGAGAGGGUGGACGGUCACACUGGGACUGAGACACGGCCCAGACUCCUACGGGAGGCAGCAGGGGGGAAUAUUGCACAAUGGGCGCAAGCCUGAUGCAGCGACGCCGCGUGAGGGAUGGAGGCCUUCGGGUUGUGAACCUCUUUCGCCAGUGAAGCAGGCCUGCCGCGUGUGUGGGUGGGUUGACGGUAGCUGGAUAAGAAGCGCCGGCUAACUACGUG